UACGAAGGGGGCUAGCGUUGCUCGGAAUCACUGGGCGUAAAGGGUGCGUAGGCGGGUCUUUAAGUCAGGGGUGAAAUCCUGGAGCUCAACGUCCAGAACUGCCUUUGAUACUGAAGAUCUUGAGUUCGGGAGAGGUGAGUGGAACUGGCGAGUGUAGAGGUGAAAUUCGUAGAUAUUCGCAAGAACACCAGUGGCGAAGGCGGCUCACUGGCCCGAUACUGACGCUGAGGCACGAAAGCGUGGGAGCAACAGG
rnacentral:rRNA from 1 species